rnacentral:rRNA from 1 species
ACGGCAGCGGGGGCUUCGGCCUGCCGGCGAGUGGCGAACGGGUGAGUAAUGCAUCGGAACGUACCCAGUGGUGGGGGAUAGCUCGGCGAAAGCCGGAUUAAUACCGCAUACGCCCUGAGGGGGAAAGUGGGGGAUCUUCGGACCUCACGCCAUUGGAGCGGCCGAUGUCGGAUUAGCUAGUUGGUGAGGUAAAGGCUCACCAAGGCGACGAUCCGUAGCUGGUCUGAGAGGAUGAUCAGCCACACUGGGACUGCGACACGGCCCAGACUCCUACGGGAGGCAGCAGUGGGGAAUUUUGGACAAUGGGCGCAAGCCUGAUCCAGCCAUGCCGCGUGAGUGAAGAAGGCCUUCGGGUUGUAAAGCUCUUUCAGUCGGGAAGAAAAGGCGGGCUCUAACAUAGCCUGUUGCUGACGGUACCGACAGAAGAAGCACCGGCUAACUACGUGCCAGCCGCCGCGGUAAUACA